UACGUAGGUGGCAAGCGUUGUCCGGAUUUACUGGGCGUAAAGAGCGCGCAGGCGGUCCGAUCAGUCGAAUGUGAAAGCCCCCGGCUCAACUGGGGAGGGUCAUUCGAUACUGUCGGACUCGAAGGCAGGAGAGAGAAGCGGAAUUCCCGGUGUAGUGGUGAAAUGCGUAGAUAUCGGGAGGAACACCAGUGGCGAAGGCGGCUUCUUGGCCUGUUCUUGACGCUGAGGCGCGAAAGCUAGGGGAGCAAACGGG
rnacentral:rRNA from 1 species